rnacentral:rRNA from 1 species
UAGGGAAUCUUCCACAAUGGACGCAAGUCUGAUGGAGCAACGCCGCGUGAGUGAAGAAGGCUUUCGGGUCGUAAAACUCUGUUAUUGAAGAAGAACGUGUGUGACAGUAACUGGUCAUGCAGUGACGGUAUUCAAUCAGAAAGUCACGGCUAACUACGUGCCAGCAGCCGCGGUAAUACGUAGGUGGCAAGCGUUGUCCGGAUUUAUUGGGCGUAAAGCGAGUGCAGGCGGUCUUUUAAGUCUGAUGUGAAAGCCUUCGGCUUAACCGAAGAAGGGCAUCGGAAACUGGGAGACUUGAGUGCAGAAGAGGAGAGUGGAACUCCAUGUGUAGCGGUGAAAUGCGUAGAUAUAUGGAGGAACACCAGUGGCGAAGGCGGCUCUCUGGUCUGUAACUGACGCUGAGGCUCGAAAGCGUGGGUAGCAAACAGGAUUAGAUACCCUGGUAGUCCACGCC